CCCGGUGCAGCCCCUUGUGGACGCGCUCUGCUCGCUGUCCGACUGUCCGUUCGCCCGCCUUUUCCCUCUCAGUCAUUUGAUGCGGUGUCGGACCAGCGAGGACUCGUCCGUGAUCUCGCCGGACCGGUUUCUCCGCCUGCAGGGCAGGAUCAGCAUGAGCAGCAGGAUGACGAGGACUGCCGCACAGACUGCCAUCAAGGCCACAGGAUAGGCCAGUCCCAGGAUGCCCUGCCAGUUGAUCCCAGGGAGGAAGAAGCCAUCAGAAGACAGGAUGGCAGCAAUGUUGUUUGUGAUGGUCCCGUUUGGGCCUUUGGGAAUGGAGACGCGGUCGAUUCCCAGUUCACCUUCCCAGUUGCCUUGGGUGUACUUUACAGCUACAGUACGACUGCUUGAACGGCAUCAAGUCAAUGAGCAGGAACUAAUUAAACAGCAGACUUCUGUCACCUCCACGUCCGAGCCGUGGCCAUGUUAACGCUCGUUGGAAAGCAUUCCUCACCACGGCGGGGGUCGUAAACCUAAUGCUCCAAAACCACCUGAUGAAUCAGCCACAAAGACUUCUAUACAGCGGCUUUUUAAUAAUGUAUCAAUCUAUGAAUCAAUCUAUGAAAACAGAGUUGCUCAUUAAAUGUGCUCAAAUGUAAAUAGC